AUCCAAACACAUCUUCUGCUAACAUGGACCGCGUUUUUCUUUUAGUUUUCUUGGUUUUUGCCCCAUUAUGUAUCCUCUCUCAGACAUUACAAGAGUCUGGUCCCGGAACUGUGAAACCCUCAGAGUCACUCGGACUGACCUGCACAGUUUCUGGGUUUGAGCUAACUAGCUAUGAUGUGAGCUGGAUCAGGCAGCCUCCUGGGAAAGGACUGGAAUGGAUUGGGAUUGCAUAUUCUAGUGGUGGCUCAGCUAUCGCUGAUUCACUUAAAAACAGAGUUACAAUUGCUAAAGACAAUGGGAAGAAGCAGGUCUACCUGCUAAUGACUGGGAUGGAAGUUAAAGACACUGCCAUAUAUUACUGUGCAAGACACACAGUGACAGAACAAAAUAAGGAAGUCAGACAUUAUCACAAUGUAGGACUGUAGU